rnacentral:piRNA from 1 species
GGAACCUACUUCACUUUGUGUGUGCAAAC